rnacentral:rRNA from 1 species
AUUGAACGCUGGCGGCAUGCUUUACACAUGCAAGUCGAACGGUAACAGGGUGCUUGCACCGCUGACGAGUGGCGAACGGGUGAGUAAUGCGUCGGAACGUGCCGAGUAGUGGGGGAUAACGCAGCGAAAGUUGUGCUAAUACCGCAUACGUACUGAGGUAGAAAGUGGGGGACCUUCGAGCCUCACGCUAUUCGAGCGGCCGACGUCUGAUUAGCUAGUAGGUGAGGUAAAGGCUCACCUAGGCGACGAUCAGUAGCGGGUCUGAGAGGAUGAUCCGCCACACUGGGACUGGGACACGGCCAGACUCCUACGGGAGGCAGCAGUGGGGAAUUUUGGACAAUGGGCGAAAGCCUGAUCCAGCCAUGCCGCGUGUCUGAAGAAGGCCUUCGGGUCGUAAAGGACUUUUGUCAGGGAGGAAAUCCCUAGUGCUAAUAACACUGGGGGAUGACAGUACCUGAAGAAUAAGCACCGGCUAACUACGUGCCAGCCGCCGCCGUAA